rnacentral:rRNA from 1 species
GACGAACGCUGGCGGCGUGCUUAACACAUGCAAGUCGAACGGAAAGGCCUUGCUUCUGUGGGGAGCUAGAGUGGCGAACGGGCGAGUAAUACGUGAGUAACCUGACCUUGACUUUGGGAUAAUUUCCGGAAACUGGGGCUAAUACCGGAUAGGAGCUCCUGUUGCGUGGUGGGGGUUGGAAAGUUUGGGCGGAUGGGGAAGGACUCGGGGCAUGUCAGCUUGUUGGUGGGGUAGUGGCUUUACAAGGCUUCGACGGGUAGCCUGCCUGAGUGGGUGACCGACCAAAUUGGGACUGGAGACAGGCCCCGACUCCUAAGGGGGGCAGCAAGGGGGAAUAUUGCACAAUGGACGGAAGCCUUAUGCAACAACGCCGCGUGCGGUAUAGCGGCCUUCGUCUUGUAGUCCGCUUUCGCCGGUGACGGAGCGUUAAUGACAUUAAUGGGUAAAGAAGCACCGGCUAACUACGUG